UUUCUUUGCUCCUUUGAAUUGAUGAGGUGUGGGCCUGAAUAUGGGCACUCAACCAUGUGUGUUUGAAUCUUUUCCAUAAGAUGAGUUAUUGACCAGAAAACCAUCUUUACCAUCCUGUAUAUACUAAGCAUUCCACGUAUCCUGUGAAACCUGUGUACUGUGCAUCCAGCUUUAUUGUCAACAAGAAUAAAUGAGAGCAAAGGGAUUAAGUUCUGUGUUUUAACAAGACACACCUCCAAGAUCUACAUGUCCACUGAACCUUGGAUACAUUUAACAUCUGUUAUCCAACAACUAUUGCUGCUGAAUUGAUUGUUGUAAGCCCCAAUAUGCCUGAAGUAAUGGAAAAGUGAUGCAAGACCGGUGACUUGCUUAAAUUUCUUUAAAAAACCUGCAAAUAUCUGUCUUUUGGAUAAAGUGAGAUGACCUAGUGUAAUGUGAAAGUUUAUAACAAUAAAUCUUUUUACAAUUUACAACCAAA